rnacentral:miRNA from 1 species
CACUCCGAAUACCCUGCCCUCUGCUGGAAGAAACCACGCGGUACAGGGGAUUCAGAG